CCGGUGGGCCGCAACUGGCGCGUAGGGAUGGAAUCAACCAUCGGGAAGCGGCCCCGUGAAUCCUCACGUGAACUUGCCGAGCGCCUGGGCCCCCGCA
rnacentral:ncRNA from 2 species